rnacentral:rRNA from 1 species
GACGAAGGGGGCUAGCGUUGUUCGGAAUCACUGGGCGUAAAGGGCGCGUAGGCGGCCGAUCAAGUCGGGGGUGAAAGCCUGUGGCUCAACCACAGAAUUGCCUUCGAUACUGUUUGGCUUGAGACCGGAAGAGGUUAGUGGAACUGCGAGUGUAGAGGUGAAAUUCGUAGAUAUUCGCAAGAACACCAGUGGCGAAGGCGGCUGACUGGUCCGGUUCUGACGCUGAGGCGCGAAAGCGUGGGGAGCAACAGG